AACGUUUAUUUAAGCGAGAGACUGAACAUAUAUGAGAGUGUGCUUGCACAUACAUACGUAUAUCCAUGGGUGCAAGUGCGAGUACAGUAGCCGCAACGGUGAAAAUAGCCGAAUAACCCUCAGACUGCGAUGCGGCCGCUAAGGAGAAUAACCGGAUCCUUGACUGAUGUGGACUCUACGACAGCGACGACGACGGUGACACGAGCACGUGUGCAGUUUGGUGGAAUGCCCCACCAGCGCCAGCAGAGGUACAACAGUUAGUUCCCCGACACUUGACCUCCAGGGAUGAUGCGCAUGCGCCGCCUGGUGCCGUUUGGGUAUCUUCCGUUGGAGAUCGGUCAUCCGGGCCUGCGCGUUUUCGGUUUAAUCCUACCAAGAGCUGGUGGCGCCAUCACAGUGCUGCCAGACUGUUCAAAAUAGAAGGAACGUCCGCGCACUGCGCCAUUCAAAUUUCGAAACAUCAGACUUCAAUACACCACAAAACACAACGGCAGCCAGCUCAUGUCUGACAACAAAAACGGCCUCCAAACAUGCGGCCACAUUUCAACACAUGCAUAUAUUUAACCUAGCAGCACAGCUAAACGUAAACUAAACCCAUCUGGGGAUCGAUCCCUACAUUUCGAGUCCAAGUUAUGUAGUACAAAAAUGUUUACUUUAUUGCGUUACCACGCUGUCCUAACCUAGCAGAAAGAAAAAAAAAAAAAAAAAGGUUGAGGUAAAAGCCAAACGCAUCACAUUUCCAAUUUAGCACGUCAGGCGCUUGCGUUGUUUUAUAUAUCAUCGUCCUCAUCGCACCGGCCACAUCCUCGACAACAUUAAUAUACACACACGGUCGCACAUUUAACUUUCAUUAAGUUAUAUUAAUAAAAAAAAAAAUGAAUUGUUUUCAUUUGUUGACACCGGCUUGGGCGGCUGGCCCAGAACACAUUUUAUUCAGAACGCAACAUCUUCUCCUUCUGACGCUGCAGCUUCUUCUUGGAGAGCUUCUUCUUUGCGGGCUCAUCGUCGGUGGCCUUCGAGACGACCUCCUCCUUCUCGGUAAGAAUGACCUCGACGUGGCACGGCGAUGACAUGUAGGGAUUGAUGCGACCAUGGGCACGGUAUGUGCGGCGACGCAGGCACUGGGCGCGGUUCACCUGGAUGUGGUGGACAACCAUGCGAUCGGCAUCGAGUCCCUUGCAGUCAGCAUUGGCCUCAGCGUUGCGCAGCAACUGCAGCAGGAAUUCCGCAGACUUCUUGGGCCAGCGACCCUGUGUGGUCUUCCACUGCUUGGCCUGGGCGCAACGUCCAACGCCGCCAUUGAAACGACGGAAGGGCACACACUCCUUCUGGUCGAUCACAGCCUUCAGGAAACGCUGGGCACGGCGCAGGGGCAUGCGCUUGAUGGCCUGAGCAGUCUCAUGUGUAUUCUGUGGACAAAAAUUACGGC